AAAAGGUAAAUACAUACCUUUUCAUUCAGAAAGCUGUUCCCUGAAAGAGUUGGGAGGCUUUGAAUUCCCUUCAUCACUGGGAGGAGAGCAGGAGCCAUACACUGUGUGUGAGGGGUGUGGGGACCAUUCCUACUGUCUCCCUCCCUCUGUUCUCCCCUAAAUGAUCCUGAGCCAGGAAGAGUGAUGCAGAAUGUCUCUCACCCUGUGGAAGAGUUGGUCAGGCUGGUCCUCAGACAACCAGGGAAGCUCUUGGGGUCCUGGAGAAUAGGCACAUAGCAGAUAAAAGGAGUUCUUAACCAAACUUCCCUAGAACGGAGGGAGCUAACAAGAAAGAACUUUGGAAAUCUACCCUCCUCUUUCCCUGUCACUGCCAGGAAUGUCACCAUGAGAGCAGUUUCAGUUAAUGAGCAAACUCCUCAGACAAGGCAGGAAGGCAGCUCUUGGGCCUCACUGUCAAGCACAGGAAGCGACUGGAUUCCACUUGCCCGGUGUAGGGAUGACAGCAGGUAUUGAGUGGGACUGCAGGCCUGACAUCCUUAGCUCCUCCACACCCAGGACAGCCCGGCUGUCAGCACAGGGCAGCAGAAAGGACAGGGGACAAGCUCCAGGUGUGGGCGAGUCCCAGAGCAGCCCGGGGAGAGUGUCACUGUGUGGGUGCUGGCGUGGGGGCAGGAGCACACCACAUGCAGUUGCACGGGGGACUGAAUCUGAGGCUUUGGGGGAAGCAUCCAAGCCCCAGGGUGUGUGUGAGGGGGUCCCCCACAUGAGCAAUUCCUCAGGCCCAGCAAUGGCUGAUUCCCUCUGCUCGAGGAGAAAUCUCAUGUGAGGAAGGUGGAGUCAGGUCAGCUCCUCUCCAAUUACCCAGAAUGGGUGAGAGUUGAAGAUCUAGAAACAGAUUGCUGAGGCAGGAGAACAAAUGGUGACCCCUGCGCCUGCCCACGUUCCUGGAGGAAAACAGGAGCCAGUAGAGAGUGAGCUGACUCGGUGUGACUCCCUUAACAUUGACACAAAAGAGAAACUAUCAUAGGUCAUGGGUACCAGCAUCCCCAGUUCUCAUCAGGAAGCAGUACCCCAGGGCACAUGUCCCACAGACUGCUGAAAGAGAUCUUGCUCAGGCCCCAGAGAACCUCCUAGCCCAUGCUGGAAGAGAAGGCCAUUCCAUCUGGGAAUCACAUGGCACUGGGUGGAGAGAGAACCGACUGGGCCUGACGCCUUGCAGAACCAGCAUCCAGCCUGUGUCCAAAGUGCUCCUGGAACCACAGAAUGUUUCAUGCCUCCAACCCUGCCCCCUCUGUCUGUCUGUCUGUUUGUCCAUCUGUCCAUCUGUCUCUCUCUCUCUCUCUCUCUCUCUCUCUCUCUCUCUCUCUGUGUGUGUGUGUGUGUGUGUGUUACAUACAUGUAUAACAUUCAACACUCACACUCAUGCUCUGGCCCAUGACUUUAUCCAUGUGCUCAGCAUCCUCCCAUCCAGAAAUCUCCAAGGCUCCCAACUGCACAGGCGACCAGCCUGAGUUCUCUGCCGGUCACUCCCAGGCUCCACCCAGCCCUUCCCCAGCCCCUUCACACAGCCCAGCUCAGCCAGGCAGGUCUCCCCUAGGGCACUAUUUUCGAGCACACUUUCUCUGCAGAUGUUCAGUCAUUUGCACCUGGGGCUGCUCUGCAUUUGUGCAUCAGCCUCAGUAGGGGUGUCUGAAUUGGGUGAGAGGGUGUGUCGGAGAAGAAUCCUGACUUGCAUUGGUUUGAGCAGAUAACGAAUAAAAAGUGUUCUCGCCGUGGAAAAAUCCAGACGGGUGUUGGCCCAGGCACAGCUCUAGGUCAAAAUUUUAAGAACCCCCACUCAUCUCUCUUGGCUGCCUUCACCUUCCUUAACCUCUGGACUAGCACCCAUCAAGAACCCCUCUAGGAGCCGGGUGGUGGUGGCACAUGCCUUUGAUCCCAGCACUUGGGAGGCAGAGGCAGGUGGAUUUCUGAGUUCGAGGCCAGCCUGGUCUACAGAGUGAGUUCUAGGACAGCCAGGGCUACACACAGAGAAACC
rnacentral:lncRNA from 1 species